rnacentral:lncRNA from 1 species
UCAAAUGUUUACCGGAUACUCAGGUUAAUUAUGAUUGUUUUCUAUUUUAUGUAGAAGAUAAAUAUCUGUUAAUUAUAAACUUAAAAUUAUGAAUUUUAUUGGUAGAAUUCUAGAUGAACCAUAGCGUGCCUCUGAUUGGACGGCGAGUCUACGACGUCGAGCGAAUCAACGACAGGCGCAAUCGACGGCACUCGCGACGCGAUAGUAAUCGCACAAUCUGCACGGCUCGCGACGCGUGCGAAGUAAGAGAAGCCCUUAUUCCAGUCUACGUAAUGGUCCGGGCAUGGCAGUUCGAUGUGAGCGUGCAGACCUUCAGACACUGUUCAUUCUUUACUGUUCGUGCUUUACUGUCACCAGGUAUGGAACCGCCCUGAGAGAGAAUCAAUUAUACUGACGUCUGAACAUUGAGC